CCUACGGGUGGCUGCAGUCGAGAAUCUUCGGCAAUGGGCGCAAGCCUGACCGAGCGACGUCGCGUGGAGGACGAAGGCCUUCGGGUUGUAAACUCCUGUCGAGGGGGAGCAAGGUGCCGUGGAGAACGGUGCUUGAGCGAUCCCUGGAGGAAGCACGGGCUAAGUUCGUGCCAGCAGCCGCGGUAAGACGAACCGUGCGAACGUUAUUCGGAUUCACUGGGCUUAAAGCGCGUGUAGGCGGGCCGAUGCGUCUGUCGCUGAAAUCCCCCGGCUCA
rnacentral:rRNA from 1 species